AGUGGCGGACGGGUGAGUAACGCGUGGAUAACCUGCCUCAUACAGGGGGAUAACAGUUGGAAACGGCUGUUAAUACCGCAUAAGCGCACGAAAUCGCAUGGUUUUGUGUGAAAAACUCCGGUGGUAUGAGAUGGGUCCGCGUCUGAUUAGCUAGUUGGCAGGGUAACGGCCUACCAAGGCGACGAUCAGUAGCCGGCCUGAGAGGGUGUACGGCCACAUUGGGACUGAGACACGGCCCAAACUCCUACGGGAGGCAGCAG
rnacentral:rRNA from 1 species